GAUGAACGCUGGCGGCGUGCCUAAUACAUGCAAGUCGAGCGAAUGGAUUAAGAGCUUGCUCUUAUGAAGUUAGCGGCGGACGGGUGAGUAACACGUGGUAACCUGCCCAUAAGACUGGGAUAACUCCGGGAAACCGGGGCUAAUACCGGAUACCAUUUUGACCGCAUGGUUCGAAAUAGCAAGGCGGCUUCGGCUGUCACUUAUGGAUGGACCCGCGUCGCAUUAGCUAGUGGGUGAGGUAACGGCUCACCAAGGCAACGAUGCGUAGCCGACCUGAGAGGGUGAUCGGCCACACUGGGACUGAGACACGGCCCAGACUCCUACGGGAGGCAGCAGUAGGGGAUCUUCCGCAAUGGACGAAAGUCUGACGGAGCAACGCCGCGUGAGUGAUGUAGGCUUUCGGGUCGUAAAACUCUGUUGUUAGGGAAGAACAAGUGCUAGUUGAAUAAGCUGACACCUUGACGGUACCUAACCAGAAAGCCACGGCUAACUACGUGCCAGCCGCCGCUGUAA
rnacentral:rRNA from 1 species